rnacentral:lncRNA from 1 species
GGUGAAAUAUGUUAAAUUUGCAAUCAAGUGAACAAAUAAAUCUCUAAAUACAGAGUAAUCUGUUCGAAUAAAAUGAUUUAUUAAGAUCAAGUGCCUUGCUAUGAGAUCCAACAAAUGAAAUAUAACGAUCCCUGUAUUUCAAAAAUUAUGUAAAACUUGGGAGAUAAUGAAUACACAUUUCUGCCAAGCAGCAAAUGUAACUGAACAAGUAUGCAAAUUCUAUUGGAACACCAGAAAACAAGAAAUCAAAGGGGGGAAAAGCUUUACUCAAUAAAAAAUAAAAGAUUAGAUAAUGUAUCAACU